rnacentral:misc_RNA from 1 species
GUUAAUAGGUGAUACAGGGUGAUUGAAAGGAAACUAGUAGCCUCUCUCUUUGUGUGAAGAGUUGAAUAUAAUCCAGAAUAAAGGUCAUGAAACAAGGUCUCUUAUUUUCCUUUUUUCCAUUUGGCCCAGGAAAUUGUUUCUCAGCUAAUCGGGUAUUAGGAAGAUAGAAGGGAAAGAAGAACUUAUUAAGCUCAAAUUCCAAUCCUAGAAUAGCCGCCAGGCCUUUGCAUUAGACUUUGCUAAUCCUUCUGCAGUUUAAAUAACCAACAAAAUCCAAGUAUAACAGUUUUGAAACUAGAGAAAGACCACAAAAAUAGAUAAAUGAUCUACCAAGCUUAUAUGAAGGGAAAACUAGGGCUUUUUCCCGUGAUGGAAUAUAAACUUCAAUUGGAACCUUCCCCAACAGAAGCUGAUUUUCUGCAAAAGUUAUUCACCUACAAGCUUUAUAUUCAUCACGAAGUCACAAGCUAGUGAUCAUAUAAUAUCUUUAAGCACCACACUAGAAGUCUACUUAUACCAACUCCAUCAAAAUAUGCCCAAGCUCUGAAAUAGUCUAUAGGAGAAACAUUCCCUACUCAGAAAGAUUGCCAGUGAUGAGUGAUGACUAGCAGAAAGAUUGACAGUGAUGACUAUAUCAAAUUUAAACAGACCUUAAAGCCACAACCUCCGGCUUGAAUUAGGGCCAGAAAGGAUGAUGUAAAAUAGGUGUCAAAAAUGAAAUCAAACAUAGGUAACCCAGCCAACCCGCACAAAAUUUUAAAGGUUGGGCUCAAGAUAAUUUGAAAUGGGUUCAAUCCCAACCCAUUCAAGCUUAACCCAUUUGAAGAGAAUUCUCAAUUGAGCCCAAUUCAAUCUCCAAUUUCAACCCGUUUAAAUUUUUUUAUUAAGAUAUGUUCCUGUAUUGAAGGUAUGAAUUAUUAUCUAUUCAACAUCUUUUAGGAAUUAUCUAUCCAUUUGUUACUUUUUUAACAAAAAAAUCUUGAGCAGAAAUUCAAAUUGUGAUUAUAAAAGUUAAAUAAUAAUAAGUUAAAUUAUUGAGAUUUAUCGGGUCAAAUUGGGCGGGUCAAGACCCAACCCAUUUGAGCCCAACCCA